AGCAGCCGCGGUAAUUCCAGCUCCAAUAGCGUAUAUUAAAGUUGUUGCAGUUAAAAAGCUCGUAGUUGAAUUUCGGGAUCAAUAUGUCUGUCGUGCCUUCGGUACGUACGGGUAUAAUUGGUUUCUACCUUCUGAUGAACCUUGAUGCCAUUAAUUUGGUGUCUUGGGGACUCAGGACUGUUACCUUGAAAAAAUUAGAGUGUUUAAAGCAGGCAUACGCUUGAAUACAUUAGCAUGGAAUAAUGAAAUAGGACGUUCGAUUCUAUUUUGUUGGUUUCUAGGAUCGACGUAAUGAUUAAUAGGGAUAGUUGGGGGCAUUAGUAUUCAAUUGUCAGAGGUGAAAUUCUUGGAUUUAUUGAAGACUAACUACUGCGAAAGCAUUUGCCAAGGAUGUUUUCAUUAAUCAAGAACGAAAGUUAGGGGAUCGAAGACGAUCAGAUACCGUCGUAGUCUUAACCAUAAACUAUGCCGACUAGGGAUCGGAUGAUGUUAAUUUUUUAAUGUACUCAUUCGGCGCCUU
rnacentral:sRNA from 1 species